rnacentral:lncRNA from 1 species
UGUUUCAGUUUCCUCUAUCCUGCUGAACACAAGACCUCCUGCCAUGCAGACUCUGAGCUUCUCAGAGCCCAGUAAAGAGUUGCACUGUGGAUGCAUCCUGCAAAUUCAAAGAAACAGGAUGCACUGCCUCUACAUAUGGAAUUGGCCUCUCCUAUAAUGAGACCUUUAAAGGCACUUUCCUGCAAUCCCAUCCUUUUUCCUUAGGAAUCUUCUCUGCUAAGAAAGAAGAAGAAAAGGUAAAAACAUGGAAAGACUGUAAACUGAAGAAGUCAUUGUCUGGACUUCCUCUAAAGUGCCAUGAAUGAAAAAAAUGCAUUUGCACAGUAAAGGCCUGGCCUGGAAUUAGGCUUGAUGGCAACAUGUUAUCACCAGGAUCAAAGGCAGUAUAUUUCUGAAUAUCACUUGCUUUGGAUCAACAGUGGAAUGGAAUGUUGUCCUUGAGUUCUGUUUGUGGCUUGCCUUCCAUUUUGUGUAAAAUUGAUGUUGGCCACUGAGGAAA